GGAAGGUGGGCGAGAGCGCGUGGGGGCGGCUCUUCGCUGAGUCGCGAGUCGGGGCGGCCCCUGGGCGCCGCUCCCUGCUAGUGGCGGGGGGCGCGGGCUCGCGCAGGGCGGGGGAGAGUCCCUGGGCAGCCGGCCGCGCGGGCGGAGUGAAUGAUGGGGAGAGGCCGGCACGCAGCCGCACGGUCCGGCCCGGACCCGGAGUUUUGGGAGCCCAGGUGCCCAGGGAGACAUAGCCCCACAAGACAUCAGUCCGACAGACCGGGACUAAGGCAAGUCCCGAAGUCACAGCCAGUCUGCCAGGACCCAGGUGGACCGCAUUCUGCUUCGUAGGAUCAUCCCGAAGAAAGGACAGCAACGUGCAGGACGAGGUUGCCUGCCCUCCUGUCUGCAAGCCUUCCGUCACAGGCAGAUUCUUUUUGGUUGAAUUUCCUUCCUGAAACCAGCUGUGGCUUCCUCUUCUUCGUUUGUUGUUUGCAGAGUUUUAAAGUAGACUCCUGCGUUUAUAGGUUUUGGGAUUCUUUUGGUUGUAAGUGACAGAAAGCAGUUCAAACCGGC